rnacentral:rRNA from 1 species
UACGUAGGUGGCAAGCGUUGUCCGGAUUUAUUGGGUUUAAAGGGUGCGUAGGCGGUCUAUUAAGUCAGUGCUGAAAUAUCCCGGCUUAACCGGGAGGGUGGCAUUGAUACUGAUGGACUUGAGUAAAGUUGAGGUUGGCGGAAUUGACGGUGUAGCGGUGAAAUGCUUAGAUAUCGUCAAGAACACCUAUUGCGAAGGCAGCUAACUAGCUUAAAACUGACGCUGAGGCACGAAAGUGUGGGGAUCAAACAGG